GAAUUCGCCCUUAGUUUGAUUUGGCUCAGGAUGAACGCUGGCGGCGUGCCUAACACAUGCAAGUCGAACGGAGUUCUUAAGGAAUGCGACUUCGGUCAUAUGACUUUUGAACUUAGUGGCGGACGGGUGAGUAACGCGUGAGCAACCUGCCUUUCAGAGGGGGAUAACAUUUGGAAACAGAUGCUAAUUACCGCAUAAGAUUACAGUACCGCAUGAUACAGUGAUCAAAGGAGCAAUCCGCUGAAAGAUGGGCUCGCGUCCGAUUAGAUAGUUGGUGAGGUAACGGCUCACCAAGUCGACGAUCGGUAGCCGGACUGAGAGGUUGAACGGCCACAUUGGGACUGAGACACGGCCCAGACUCCUACGGGAGGCAGCAGUGGGGAAUAUUGCACAAUGGGCGAAAGCCUGAUGCAGCAACGCCGCGUGAGGGAAGACGGUUUUCGGAUUGUAAACCUCUGUUUUCGGUGACGAACAAAUGACGGUAACCGAGUAGGAAGCCACGGCUAACUACGUGCCAGCAGCCGCGGUAAUACGUAGGUGGCAAGCGUUAUCCGGAAUUACUGGGUGUAAAGGGAGCGCAGGCGGGAUAGCAAGUCAGUUGUGAAAACUAUGGGCUCAACCCAUAAACUGCAGUUGAAACUGUUAUUCUUGAGUGGAGUAGAGGCAAGCGGAAUUCCGAGUGUAGCGGUGAAAUGCGUAGAUAUUCGGAGGAACACCAGUGGCGAAGGCGGCUUGCUGGGCUCUAACUGACGCUGAGGCUCGAAAGUGUGGGGAGCAAACAGGAUUAGAUACCCUGGUAGUCCACACUGUAAACGAUG
rnacentral:rRNA from 1 species